ensembl:lncRNA
CUAGGGACUACUACAGUAAACCAUCAGACUGACCCACUGGCUAGGGACUACUACAGUAAACCAUCAGACUGACCCACUGGCUAGGGACUACUACAGUAAACCAAGAGACUGACCCACUGGCUAGGGACUACUAGAGUAAACCAAGAGACUGACCCACUGGCUAGGGACUACUACUGUAAACCAAGAGACUGACCCACUGGCUAGGGACUACUACAGUAAACCAAGGGACUGACCCACUGGCUAGAGACUACUACAGUAAACCAAGAGACUGACCCACUGGCUAGGGACUACUACAGUAAACCAUCAGACUGAACCACUGGCUAGGGACUACUACAGUAAACCGUCAGACUGACCCAAUGACUAGGGACUACUACGGUAACCCGUCAGACUGACGCACUGGCUAGGAUCUACAACAGGUAAACAUCAGACUGACCCACUGGCUAGGGACUACUACUGUAAACCAAGAGACUUACCCACUGGCUAGGGACUACUACAGUAAACCAAGAGACUGACCCACUGGCUAGGGACUAUGGUAAACCAUCAGACUGACCCACUGGCUAGGGACGACUACAGUAAACCAUCAGACUGACCCACUGCCUAGGGACUAUGGCAAACCAUCAGACUGACCCACUGGCUAGGGACUUCUACGUUAAACCAUCAGACUGACCCACUGGCUAGGGACUACUGCAGUAAACCAUCAGACUGACCCACCGGCUAGGGACUACUACUGUAAACCAAGAGACUGACCCACUGGCUAGGGACUACUACUGUAAACCAUCAGACUGACCCACUGGCUAGGGACUACUACUGUAAACCAUCAGACUGACCCACUGGCUAGGGACUACUACUGUAAACCAUCAGACUGACCCACUGGCUAGGGACUUCUACAGUAAACCAUCAGACUGACCCACUGGCUAGGGACUACUCCAGUAAACCAAGAGACUGACCCACUGGCUAGGGACUAUGGUAAACCAUCAGACUGACCCACUGGCUAGGGACUACUACUGUAAACCAUCAGACUGACCCACUGGCUAGGGACUGCUACAGUAAACCAUCAGACUGACCCACUGGCUAGGGAAUACUACAGUAAACCAUCAGACUGACCCACUGGCUAGGGACUACUACUGUAAACCAAGAGACUGACCCACUGGCUAGGGACUACUACUGUGAACCAUCAGACUGACCCACUGGCUAGGGACUUCUACAGUAAACCAUCAGACUGACCCACUGGCUAGGGACUACUACAGUAAACCAAGAGACUGUUCCACUGGCUAGGGACUACUACAGUAAACCAAGAGACUGACCCACUGGCUAGGGACUACUACAGUAAACCAAGACAACUGACCCACUGGCUAGGGACGACUACGGUAAACCAUCAGACUGACCCACUGGCUAGGUACUACUACGGUAAACCAUCAGACCGACCCGCUGGCUAGGGACUACUAUAGUAAACCAUCAGACUGACCCACUGGCUAGGGACUACUAUAGUAAACCAUCAGACUGACCCACUGGCUAGGUACUAUUACGGUAAACCAUCAGACCGACCCGCUGGCUAGGGACUACUAUAGUAAACCAUCAGACUGACCCACUGGCUAGGGACUACUAUAGUAAACCAUCAGACUGACCCACUGGCUAGGUACUACUACGGUAAACCAUCAGACCGACCCACUGGAUUGGGACUACUACAGUAAACCAUCAGACUGACCCACUGGCUAGGGACUACUACAGUAAACCAUCAGACUGACCCACUGGCUAGGAACUUCUACUGUAAACCAAGAGACUGACCCACUGGCUAGGGACUACUACUGUAAACCAAGAGACUGACCCACUGGCUAGGAACUACUAAAGUAAACCAUCAGACUGACCCACUGGCUUGGGUCUACUUUGGCAAACCAUCAGACUGACCCACUGGCUAGGGACUAUGGCAAACCAUCAGACUGACCCACUGGCUAGGGACUAUGGUAAACCAUCAGACUGACCCACUGGCUAGGGACUACUGCAGUAAACCAUCAGACUGACCCACUGGCUAGGGACUAUGGUAAACCAUCAGAUUGACCCACUGGCUAGGGACUACUACUGUAAACCAAGAGACUGACCCACUGCCUAGGGACUAUGGCAAACCAUCAGACUGACCCACUGGCUAGGGACUUCUACGUUAAACCAUCAGACUGACCCACUGGCUAGGGACUUCUACUUUAAAUCAUCAGACUGACCCACUGGCUAGGGACUACUACAGUAAACCAUAAGACUGACCCACUGGCUAGGGACUACUAUGGUAAACCAUCAGACUGACCCACUGGCUAGGGACUUCUACUUCAAACCAUCAGACUGACCCACUGGCUAGGGACUACUACUGUAAACCAUCAGACUGACCCACUGGCUAGGGACUUCUACUUUAAACCAUCAGACUGACCCACUGGCUAGGGACUAUGGCAAACCAUCAGACUGACCCACUGGCUAGGGACUACUACAGUAAACCAUCAGACUGACCCACUGGCUAGGGACUAUGGCAAAGCAUCAGACUGAGCCACUGGCAUUGGACUUCUACUUCUACUCUACCCAUAGGGCGAUGGACAAUUGGCUCAGCGUCUUUAGGGUUUGGCUAGGGUAGGCCGUCAUUGUAAAUAAGAAUUUGUUCUUAACUGACUUGCCUAGGUAAAUAAAGUUUACAUUUAAACAAUUUAAUAAAUACAAAUUCAUAUGGAUUGAUUGGAGACUGGCUUAGCUAGCAGUCAAGCUAGCUAGCUAAUUUUCGUCCGCAUGUCAAAUGUGAUGAUACGGAUUCUAAAACGACAAUAGUCCUUAGCUACACAUUACCAUUCAAAGAUUGGACACACCUACUCAUUCCAGGGUUUUUCUUUAUUUUUUACUUUUUUCUACAUUUUAUAAUAAUAGUGAAGACAUCAAAACUAUGAAACAACACAUAUGGAAUAAUGUUGUACCAAAAUCAAAACAUAGAGAUUCUUUAAAGUAGCCAUCCUUUGCCUUGAUGACAGCUUUGCACACUCUUGGCAUUCUUUCAAUCAGCUUCAUGAGGUAGUCACCUGGAAUGCAUUUCAAUUCAAUUGUGGAAUUUAUUUCCUUCUUAAUGUGUUGGAGCCAAUUAGUUGUGUUCUGACAUGUUAAGGGUGGUAUACAGAAGAUAGCCCUAUUUGGUAAAAGACCAAGUCCAUAUUAUGACAAGAACAGCUCAAAUAAGCAAAGAGAAAUGACAGUCCAUCAUUACUUUAAGAUACGAAGGUCAGUCAAUUAAAGUUUCUUCAAGUGCAGUUACAAAAACCAUCAAGCGCUAUGAUGAAACUGGCUCUCAUGAGGACCGCCACAGGAAAGGAAGACCCAGAGUUACCUCUGCUGCAGAGGAUAGGUUCAUUAGAGUUACCAGCCUCAGAAAUUGCAGCCCAAAUAAAUGUUUCACAUCGUUCAAGUAACAGACGCAUCUCAACAUCAACUGUUCAGAAGAGAUUGAGUGAAUCAGGCCGUCGUGGUCAAAUUGCUGCAAAGAAACCUCUACUAAAGGACACCAAUAAACACAAGCAAUGGACGUUAGACCAGUGGACAUUUUUUUGGUUCCAAUAUUUGUGUCUGUGAGACUCAGAGUAGGUGAACAGAUGAUCUCUGCAUGUGUGGGUCCCACUGUGAAACAUGGAGGAGGAGGUGUGAUGGUGUGGGUGUGCUUUGCCUGUGACACUGUUUGUGAUUUAUUUAGAAUUCAAGGCCCACUUAACCAGCAUGGAUUCCACAGCAUUCUGCAGCAAAACGCCAUCCCAUCUGGUUCGCGCUUAGUUGGCAUAUCAUUUGUUUUUCAACAAGACGAUGACCCAACACAUCUCCAGGCUAUUUAAGGGCUAUUUGGCCAAGGAGAGUGAUGGAGUUGCAUCAGAUGACCUGGCCUCGAAAAUCACCCGACCUCAACGCAAUUGAGAUGUUUUGGGAUGAGUUGGACUGCAGAGUGUUGGAAAAGCAUUCUAUGUGAAGCUGAUUGAGAGAAUGCCAAGAGUGUGUUAAGCUGUCAUCAAGGCAAAGGGUGGCUAUUUUGAAGAAUAUCAAAUAUAUAAUAUAUUUAGAUUUGUUUUACUUUUUUUGUUACUACAUGAUUCCAUAUGUGUUAUUUCAUAGUUUUGAUGUCUUCACUAUUAUUCUACAAUGUAGAAAAUAGUAACAAAUAAAGUAAAACUCUUGAAUGAGUAGGUGUGUCCAAACAUUUCACUGGUACUGUAUAGAAUUAGGUAAUUAUAACUUGCUGAUGUCAAAAUUAGCUACAGAUUUGUAACAUUUUCUAAUCUCAUGACAGUGUAUUGUAGCACAACUCCUUUUUUUAUCAAUCCCACUAAGGUUUGCGUGUUAUCGAACAGAUCAGUGCAGACAGCCGUAAUCUGACGUUAAGACAACGGAUAAUAGACCAGAUGAAUGGCUACUUAGAAACAGAACGCCAACUGUCUUCUGAUGUUCUAAAUAAGCACAUACUUUACCGCAGCUGGCAGUUACACUGAACAAGCCUUAAAAUAGUAGUGUGUGCUGUUAUUAUUAUUAUGCAUUAUUUAAUAAGGAUUACUUUGGUGUUUACACAUUAAUAAUCCCAAAUCUAACCAAUGACUGUAUUGCCAGUUAAUUAACACUCUUAACUGUAUUCCAAAUGGCACUCUAUUCCUUAUUUAGUGGACUCCUUUUGACCAGGGCCGUUAGCACUCUCUAUCUCACUCACUGAAGGAGGAUUGUUAUUAAAACACUAAUCAUGGCACCUGGAGACCCAAUGAUAAUGAUAUCCAUGUAUUCUUAUUGUUAUGGGGAUUAUAAUGAUAGGCCUCAUCCAUCUCUUUCACUGUGGCUAUAUGGGGAUACUUUCACUCCUCUGUUGGCUUUAAGGCAGCACCAUAACCUACACCUCUGAAAUAUGCAUCAUUUCUAUGGCUUGUUAUUCACAGUACAGUAUGUAGAAUGUAGCUUGUACAUAGCCUUUUACAGGAAUGCUUUUUGUAUUAUUUUUUUCUCCCUUAAUACUUCAUUAUUAUACAUUUUUACUAGUUUUUUGCUAAUUAUUUUAAACAAAUAUAUAUGAAUAUAUAGAUAUUAGUCGUUCCUUUUUUAUUUGAUUGGACACAUGCUAGUUGAAUGUUUGUUUUUAACCAUUGUUUAUUUGUUAUGAGACUAAGGUGUUGCCUGGGAAACAACUGAAGAACAACAACAUGUCAUAUGUCUUUACAUGACAUUACUUCACACGUCUAACUGUAUUGUGAUUUUGUUCAAAACAAGAGAGUAAGCUUUGAUUUAAAAAAAAUAUAUAUAUAUAUAAUUUCAAAGACCAGACUCUUGUUUAUGUUCCAGUACCGGUUCUAGCUGGUUCCAGAUUAUUUGAUUAGCACCUUGUGAAGUGUUCUCAAUGUCUGUGAUGUAAUUUAUUAAUGUUUUUAUACUUGUACAAUUCUUAAGAGUUUUGUUUUUGGAUAUUUUAUCAGUGUGUGAAUUAACCCCCCCCCCCUACUUAGUGAGUUAGUUCCACUACGUUGUUUAUGACAUCAGUAAGUUUUCGGACACUGUGUGGUCAUUACACUUAGUAUUGUUAAAAUAAUGUUUUUGUUUGUUUUUUCAUAUUAUUAUUUUCAUAUGGUUUCUAACAUCUCACUCUGUCCUCAUCAGUCAAGAUGUUACAUAUGUUAUUGUUAUUAUUAUUAUUGUUAUUAUUAAGAAGCUAUGUCCAAUAACCAUCAUGCCAUUGAUUUUAUUUUUCUAUAAAACAUGAUAAUUAUUCUGUUCAUUUUUCCAUAAGGUUAAUGUGCUGAUUGAUAGCAGUCUUUUAGUCUAUCCGAUGUAAAUGAUGUCACAAUACGACACUCAGAUCAAACUGUCUUUCAACGGAACUCGUUUUAUUUCUACAUGAAUACAGUAUCUUUGUUGUGUGUUUUUGUAUGUCCAACCUAUUAAAUGUAUACACUGUUGUCAAAUGACUACAACCUUUAUCCUUGUUGACUUUGCAAUACAAUAUUGUCUAAACCAG